CGGGUGCACGUGCCUCUUUGGAGCACCACAUUUGUAUCUUUAGGGUAUAUACCUGGGCACCAUUCUUAAUAGAACAAUCAAUUCCCUUCCUAAACGAGGCACUGCCAACAUUCUACACAGGUUAUUUUAUAGCGGAUAUAAUAACAAAGACUCGUACUGGUAGUGCACCUAGUACAUUCCAUUCAUCUGGCGUACUUCUUGACUAAUUCUUAUACUGACACUGCCGAGUAGAUAUUAUCCUCCUCAUCUUGCAUAUGCAAACCUGAGACCCAGAGAGGAAUCCUCACCUGUCUAAGGUCACAAAGCUGGUAAAAGGGGGAACUGGGAUUCAGACCCAGGUCUGUCUGGCUCUGAUGUCUAGGCUGGUUCCACAGGGUCUAGAGGGUCAGAGAGCUCCUUCAAGUGGGGAGUGGAUGGUGUGGGUAUGGACCUCACUAAUGCUAACUUAGGAGAACAGUCCUGAUACAGAGUUCUAGAAAGAAGUGUCUGUAAUGAACCUGCUGUCCCAGCAGGAAUGGUGAGUUUUAUCUCCUACAGGUUAGAGCAAUUUGGCAUCUGAGAAUUCAAGGGCAGGAUUGUGGGGACCAUGGAGAAAACUGUUUUCAAAGACAGGAACGGCUUCUCUGGGCUGCAUCGGGGAGGGUAGUGUGCUCACGGUCGUGAGCACAUGCUGGGGGACAGGAACAAGGAAGAGGUUGUAGGGAAGCAAAAAGUGUUACCAGAAACGCCCUGGACAGAAAACAGAUGGGUGUCAGGGUGGGAGAGGAAGGAAGAGAAGUAAAUGCAUCCACAGCAGGAGACUUGGAAGAAGGGUUUUGUAGCCCCUGCCCUUCUCCCAGAAUGUUCUUCACUGCAUCCCUGGCUGGGAUAUACUUUUGUUCUUGGUAGAGCUUUUCACUAAGAGAUGAGGAAACUCGGCCGAGCAGUGAGGGAAGACUUUUGUGGGCAACUGCCACUGAAAUCCCAAGCCCUUAAAUGUCAGCAUGUCAGAGAGGCCUGCCUUCAUCUAAAUGAGACACCCCCCACCCCCAGCAUGACUCUCUGUUACUAGACCUGGCACUUCUUUCAAUAGCAUUUCUCACCUUGUGUAAUCACGUAUUUAUUAAUUUUCAUAGUCAUUGUCAGGCUCUCCCCUUCAGCAGAGACCAUCUUCGUUUUAUUCACCGGUGUGUAUUCAGCACGUAGAAUGGUGUGAGGGAAAUGUUCAAGAACUGUCUGUUGGGCAGCUAAAGGGGUGACUGUUGUCCAGGUGGCUGAUCUUUAAAUCGGGUGGCUUUCAUGCCAUGUGGAUAAAUUAUGGUGUACUCAUCCCCACCAACUGGUGCAUAUAGGAAAAUCAAGGUAGAGUUAACACCAAGGAUAGGUUCAAAGAGGAAUUAAGGAUCACUGUCUUAAGAGCUUGUCAUAGGAAGUCCUUCUCCUUGGCCUACUGAGGUAAAGGGAAUUCUGGCUGCUUUUAUGGAAAUGAGCCUAAGUCAUUUUAGCCCCAGAUCUCUCCUCCCUCACACCAGUCCCCAGUCAGUCCCCAGCUGAGGGCAGAUCGUGGUGGGGCGGGUCAUGCUAAGGCUUGCCCCACUUCGUGCUGCUAGGAGCUCUGGCUUCCAUCAGAUAUAUGCUGGCUGUUGGCAAGGAGGAAGGAAGCAAGCCGUAGCAGGAAUGAAGUCCACCCCUUCCCCUCAGACUUGGAGCCGUAGGCUGAGGGAAGCCAGCUGGUACCAUGUUAAAGAGACCACUGUUUGUCACCUAAUAAGCAAGUGUUUGAAGAGCAGGGGACAGGGGGUGAUUAUUCCUCAGUAGCUUGGAAAACAGGGCAUGCAUGAUAUUUUGUUUCUCCUUUGGCCUUGCUGAUAGCAGAGUUCACUCGAGAGGUUUGGUUGACCUGAUUCUUUUCAGGGAGACCUUGAAAUAUAGAUAAGCCCUUGAUAAGUGGGACAGACAUAUGCCACUCCCUAUCCCUGGCGUACCCGUUCUUCCUGAUGCUCUGCCCCUGGUUUAUGAACCGUGAUCAUUGUUCCUAGGAACGAUAAAGGGAGUCAUGAGACUCCUCCCUGUGGCUUCAGCAAGAUACACCGUAGGCCAGAUUGGGCCUCAGUGUGGGACUUCUAAGUGGUGUGAAUCUGGAGAAGGGAAACAAAGUUCCACUUGUUCCUGUGAGCCUUCCUAUCAAAGAUGUUUACACCGUGAGUCUGCGCAGUUAGAGAUGUGGGUCGUUUUUUGUCCAGUAGUGUGAGAGGCUUGGAUGGCCUUGGUGUGCCCUCACGUUUCCUGCCUUUGGUUUUUCUGGAAAGAAAAUUAAGAGUUUAUUAGUCACCUGCUAUAUCCCAGGUACUGAACGAGGCAUCUUUUCCAAAGUUGUCUCAUUUCAUUUGUAUGAAGACCAUUUCGGGAGAGGUUAUUAUCCCCUUUAUAUGCAUGAGAAGAUGGAGGUUCAGAAAAGUAGAAUAAAUUUACUAAGCCCUCUCAGCCAAGAGGCUGAGUCAUAAUUUGAACCCUGGGCAUCUCACUCCUAAACUUGUGUGUUCUUCCCAUUGAGGGUUCACAAAGAACAAAAAUUCUGGAACACAUUACAGGGUGACCUGAUACCUGGCUUAACAGGAUGAAUUUUAACACUAAACUUAGUUUGGCGCAUCUGCCUUUACUGGGGAGAGACAGAGGAGGGAGAAGGGGGUGGCCUGAAAACAGUUUUUUUGCUGGGGUUCAGCCUACUGUCAGCACCUCGUCCCAUCCAGACAAUCGGAGCCUCUCUAAAAAAGCCACUGUGUUAUUAUAGCAUCAAAGGAAAGGUGACCUUGGUAGCUUGGACGAAACCCCAGCUUGGACUAGAACUUCCGUCCAGGGUAGCUGACUCUCUCUUACUGCAUAUGAGCCACAUUUUUGCAGCCCUGUCCAGGAAUAUCUGUGGACCCAAAGGCUCCAAUAAAAUGAAAGUUAUCUUGUAUGCCUGUCUCCUACCCUGAUCACGGGGCAGCCCAGCAAGACAGAAAUCCCCAAACAGUGACUUGUCCUAGAGCCCAAUGACACAGUCACCCCAACCUGUAUCUAGCGGCUCCUCCUGCAGAAAACAAGCACCCCACUCUGCCUUCUGGGACCGAGCGUGAGCUCCUGGGCCUCGGGAGCCCAGCUCCAAAAAGUUUGCUGCUUCCUUACUUGAGAUGUAUUCCUAUACUGUAAUCAUACUGUGAGUGGAGCCAGCCAAAGCAGUGGCUAUUAAUAGGGAGGUGAAGAAAGCUGAGUCAGGAGGGGGCUGACUUAGGCUGGAGGCGAGAGCCUGGCCACCUUGUCCUACAAUCCUCAGUGAGAGGUCAGGGAGAGAGACGGACCUGAGCUCAUUCGGCUCCUGGGCCGGAGUCAGCACCAUCUGGAUUUCUCAACUUUGGAAAUAGAAGCCUGAGGCGAUCCCGAUCAAAGGGCUAGGCCGCCGUCUUUCUCAGGUCCUUGGGGAGUUUCAGAGCCCUGAACACACACAGCUUAAAGAGCUGUGAUGCAGCAAAGCUGUAACUCUUCCCUGAUAGUGUGACUUGGAGUGGGCUGUGAGGGGCCCCCUUCGGCAGCCUGCCUCAGCAGAGAAGCCGGUGCUGACCCAGCCCCGAGCUGGCCAGAGCUCCUGUGCGCAGAGGUGUCAGAGGAGGGAGAUUGUAUUUCUGGCUUCUUGAUAAAGCUUGGGGAAGUGGGUGUUACAGAAAGGUGGAAGCAAAGAGGUGAAGGUCCAGAGCAAAUGAAGGGCACAGUGCAGUCCUGAUUGUGUGCCCGAAUGUUUUCAAACAUUUCUGUUAAGGCAGUGCCUUUCUCAGGGAGAUAAGACCUCAGCCACUUGGUAGAUGCGCCAUCACCUGGCAGCUGGAAGCAGGAUGGAUUCCCAAACUUGGCCCAUGCUGGGCCACAGGGAAAAUAGAACUGCUCCCGGACGCUGGGUUCAGAGUAUCCCUGACUCCCUGCUGGGUGUGAAACACACGCUCUGUAUGCUGCUGCUUUUGGUCCUCACCAGCCCCGACAGGUGGGUAUUACCACCCCUCUUCUCAGAGGGAAAAAGUGAGAUUCAGGGACGCAAGGUGACAGUCACAGGGAAUAGAAGGUGACAAAGUAGGACUAAAACCUAGGUCUGUCCGCAGACUUAGGGCCCGUCCCCAUCUUUUCGGCUUCUAUGGGGACCCGGCCAUCUGUCCCUCUGUCGCUGCUCUGGUGCCCACACUGAGUGGGCAUGAUGGCAAUGUGUGUGUGUGUGUGUGUGGGUGGGUGUUGCUAGGAGGCGCUAUUCCUUCAGUUGGUUAGCCAUGCCUUGGUAUGUUUGCUCAAGGGGGGAGAUUGUUUUGGUUCCUGGAUUGCUGAAGAAAGAGGGUCAGGUGGAGGAGAUGGAUUAGGGAAGAUUUGUUCCUGUCUCUCCUAAAAAUGUUUACUUAACACCUACCAGGUUCAGCUCUGGGUGGCUUGGGCACUUUCAGACUACAGAACAAUUUAAAGACCCUGGCCUUUUUCUCUACUAUUUUUCACAUAUCCUGGGGACUGUCCACAGGGGUAGAUCCCUUCAGUUACACAGGUAUCAUAAUAGACCCCUUAGACACUCAAAUGUAUAUAUCAAAUACUUGUUCAUGGAAAAAGUGGACUUUCCUUCUACUGACUGUCAUAUGGGUCACUUCCUGAACCUGAGAGAGAUCCCCAGGACCCUAGACCCCAGCUCCUAAGCUCUAGCAAGUUCAUGAGGGGAGGGAGGCCCAUACGGGGCUUGAUCCCAGGACCCUGGGAUCAUGACCUGAGCCAAAGGCAGCCGUUUAACCGACCCACUGAGCCACCCAGGCACCCCUGGUCAAGACUUCUUUCUUCCUUUCUUGAACGGUAGACAUACAGCCUUAACAGUGAGAGCGGUCAAGGGGCAGAUGGCAACGUCCAGGUCCAGACAGCUGCCUCCUCUCACUGUAGUCAAAGUUAAUUAAUUCCCACUGUACCUUGAACUAGGUCACCUACAGGUCUGUGCUGAGGUCUGACCUGGUUGUCAGGGGAAGACAUUUCUAGUCUGGCUCUUGGUGUGCUGUCUUGGGCCGGCGGGCAGAGAAAGGGGUAUUUUUUCACCUUUGCGUGGGAUUGUCUCUCCUCUUCUCCCCCCGGGAGGUGACCAUUUUCAGAUCUGUGGGUGGGGAGGAAAAUCUUCUUCCAAAAAUAAUCUUCUUUCUGCAGUGGGGUUUGAAGCUGGACCAAGCUGCUAAUGCUAUUUUUACCCAGCUUGCAGUUCAGGGUGUAAAUAGCAACUCUGGCUGUUUUUUCCCACAGCUAACAACAGAGUCAACCUCUUCGAGGCAGAGGCAACCUGGCAUUUUGCACAAAGGAAGCAGAACAAAGGUUGCUCUUGGGCCCAGGGAAUGGUCCUUGACCAUCAGAUGUACCAGUCUAUUUUCAAUCCCAGAAGAGGAAGCAAAUGGAUAGCUGUCGACUACUGUUCUAGCUCAGGGGACUUUGUAGGAAAUAAUGAAUGAAGAUCCUCAAUACAAACGUCUCCAGAAGGGCCAGGCAGAUAAGGUACCUGGCCAGGGUCGGCCAUAGGCUCCACACCCAGCAUGGAGCCCAACACGUG